UACGUAGGGGGCUAGCGUUGUCCGGAUUCAUUGGGCGUAAAGAGCGUGUAGGCGGCCCGGUAAGUCCGUUGUGAAAGUCAAGGGCUCAACCCUUGAAUGCCGGCGGAUACUGUCGGGCUAGAGUCCGGAAGAGGCAAGUGGAAUUCCCGGUGUAGCGGUGAAAUGCGCAGAUAUCAGGAGGAACACCGGUGGCGAAGGCGGGUCUCUGGGCCGAUACUGACGCUGAGGAGCGAAAGCGUGGGGAGCGAACAGG
rnacentral:rRNA from 1 species